CUAUGCCAGCCAGUCUGUAUUGGGCAUAAGGAAUGUAUUUCAAAUAUGUACCAGAACAAAGACUGGUAACUGUGGGGCUGGCAGGCCACACAAUCUGUUACAGAGACCUUUGGGGACUGCAAACUCAACCACUGUGUCACAGUGAGGCCAAAAGGCAAAAUCCAGGUCAUAAAGGCACAGAAAGCCAUACCACACACAUAUGGCUUCUGAGAUCAGAGCCAGCAGACCCUUUACUUCUGAAAUCUCUCACAGUGUUACAGCUGGAGCUCCCAGCAUACAAAAAACUGCAUUACCAGAUCAUCAGCCUGAACCCUUCUGGGUGUGCUCCAGCCACAAGCUGCAGCUGUGCAGGUUUUUUUCCCCCUUCUUCUUCAAAACACAGAGCCAGACAGAGUCUCCUAAGUUACCUUUGCUGCCAUAGGAGCCAUCCACGGUGUGAUCAGAAGAGAGCAUAUGACACACACAGAGAAUGCAUGGGAUGUCUCACUUCUCGCUGCCUGGGGAUUGCAGCCCUCCAUCCUAAUCAAGAACUCACAAGGCAGAUAAGAGACUCAUCCAUGACCACUGGCAGAAGCAAACCUGGAAUGAGGUGCCAGGCAACGAGCUGAUGCCUCAAAGUCAUCCAAGACUGAAAAAGGCUGGAUGGCAACAAGAGCUCAUGUCAUGUAGAACACAGGCAUAACACCUAAAUGUGAAAGAUGCAAAAAGACAAAUCUGAAAGCUUUGGCAACUUUUCCUCCAUUAGGCAAACAGAUAUUGGCAUCUAUGUCUGCUCAGGCUUUGUCUGGUGCUUCAGGAGGCACUGGACCACUGACUGAAGGAACAGAAAAGGAAAACCCUGAACUGAAACAUAGAGAAUAACUCAGAACAGUUUCACAUUCUCUUGUGACAUCACCUUGCUUUUCCUCAAGUAAAAG